rnacentral:rRNA from 1 species
AUACAGAGGGUGCAAGCGUUAAUCGGAAUUACUGGGCGUAAAGCGCGCGUAGGUGGUUAGUUAAGUUGGAUGUGAAAGCCCUGGGCUCAACCUGGGAAUGGCAUUCAAAACUGGCUGACUAGAGUAUGGUAGAGGGAAGGGGAAUUCCAGGUGUAGCGGUGAAAUGCGUAGAUAUCUGGAGGAACAUCAGUGGCGAAGGCGCCUUCCUGGCCUAAUACUGACACUGAGGUGCGAAAGCGUGGGUAGCAAACAGGAUUAGAUACCCUAGUAGUCC